GUGUUAGAUGUAGGAUGGUGGUGUUAGAGGUAGGGUGGUGGUGUUAGAUGUACGGUGGUGGUGUUAGAUGUAGGAUGGUGGUAUUAUUUAUAGGGUGGUGGUGUUAGAUGUAGGGGUGGUGGUGUUAGAUGUAGGGGUGGUGGUGUUAGAUGUAGGGGUGGUGGUGUUAGAUAUAGGGUGGAGGUGUUAGAUGUAGGGUGGCGGUGUUAGAUGUAGGGUGGUGGUGGUGUUAGAUAUAGUGUGGUGGUGUUAGAUGAGGGUCAUGGUGUUAGAUAGAGGGUGGUAGUGUUAGAUGUAGAGUGGUGGUGUUAGAUAAGGGUCAUGGUGUUAGAUAUAGGUUGGUGGUGCUAGAUAAGGGUCAUGGUGUUAGAUAUAGGUUGGUGGUGUUAGAUGUAGGGUGGUGGUGUUAGAUGUAGGGGUGGGGGUGAUGUUAAAUAUAGGGUGGUGGUAUUAGAUGUAGCGUGGUGGUGUUAGAUGUAGGGUGGAUGUGUUAGAUGUAGGGUGGGGGGUGUUAGAU
ensembl:lncRNA